CAGACCUACGGGGGGCAGCAGUGGGGAAUAUUGCGCAAUGGGCGAAAGCCUGACGCAGCGACGCCGCGGUAAGGAUGAAGGAUCUAUAGUUUGUAAACUUCUUUUAUAUGGGAAUAAAGUGAGGAGCGUGUUCCUUUUUGUAUGUACCAUAUGAAUAAGCAUCGGCUAACUCCGUGCCAGCAGCCGCGGUAAUACGGAGGAUGCGAGCGUUAUCCGGAUUUAUUGGGUUUAAAGGGUGCGUAGGUGGUUAAUUAAGUCAGCGGUGAAAGUUUGUGGCUCAACCAUAAAAUUGCCGUUGAAACUGG
rnacentral:rRNA from 1 species